rnacentral:rRNA from 1 species
UACGUAGGGUGCGAGCGUUAAUCGGAAUUACUGGGCGUAAAGCGUGCGCAGGCGGUUUUGUAAGCCGGAUGUGAAAUCCCCGGGCUUAACCUGGGAAUGGCAUUCGGGACUGCAAGGCUGGAGUGCGGCAGAGGAGACUGGAAUUCCUGGUGUAGCAGUGAAAUGCGUAGAUAUCGGGAGGAACACCAGUGGCGAAGGCGGCUACCUGGCCCACUCUUGACGCUGAGGCGCGAAAGCUAGGGGAGCAAACGGG